GACGAACGCUGGCGGCGUGCUUAACACAUGCAAGUCGAACGAUGAUGCCCAGCUUGCUGGGUGGAUUAGUGGCGAACGGGUGAGUAACACGUGAGUAACCUGCCCCUGACUCUGGGAUAAGCGUUGGAAACGACGGCUAAUACUGGAUAUGACUGCCGGCCGCAUGGUCUGGUGGUGGAAAGAUUUUUUUGGUUGGGGAUGGACUCGCGGCCUAUCAGCUUGGUGGUGAGGUAAUGGCUCACCAAGGCGACGACGGGUAGCCGGCCUGAGAGGGUGACCGGCCACACUGGGACUGAGACACGGCCCAGACUCCUACGGGAGGCAGCAGUGGGGAAUAUUGCACAAUGGGCGAAAGCCUGAUGCAGCAACGCCGCGUGAGGGAUGACGGCCUUCGGGUUGUAAACCUCUUUUAGUAGGGAAGAAGCGAAAGUGACGGUACCUGCAGAAAAAGCUCCGGCUAACUACGUGCCAGCAGCCGCCGUAAGAC
rnacentral:rRNA from 1 species